rnacentral:rRNA from 1 species
UGGACCUGAUAUCAGGCAAGA